rnacentral:rRNA from 1 species
AGAGUUUGAUCAUGGCUCAGAUUGAACGCUGGCGGCAUGCCUUACACAUGCAAGUCGAACGUGAAAGGGGGGCAACCCCCGAGUAGAGUGGCGGACGGGUGAGUAAUACAUCGGAACGUGCCCAGUAGUGGGGGACAACCUCGAGAAAUCGAGGCUAAUACCGCAUACGACCCACGGGUGAAAGCGGGGGACCGCAAGGCCUCGCGCUAUUGGAGCGGCCGAUGUCCGAUUAGCUAGUUGGUAGGGUAAAAGCCUACCAAGGCAACGAUCGGUAGCUGGUCUGAGAGGACGACCAGCCACACUGGGACUGAGACACGGCCCAGACUCCUACGGGAGGCAGCAGUGGGGAAUUUUGGACAAUGGGGGCAACCCUGAUCCAGCCAUGCCGCGUGCGGGAAGAAGGCCUUCGGGUUGUAAACCGCUUUCGGCCGGAACGAAAUCGCCGGGGAGAACAUCUCCGGUGGAUGACGUACCGAAGUAGAGACCGAUCCC